CCUCUCUCUUCGCUAUUGUUCGCGCCCUACCUCGUGCUGCCGCUCUCGGCUCGGCUCACCUACCGUGCGCCCCUCUAGCUCAGCUACCGUUCGUGCUUCCACCUUCUCAGUGCCUAGACACUUUACCUCCCUUUAUCUCCUCUUACCUGCCCCUCCUCUGUUCCCCUUCUUACCUCCUCACUCUCUCACCUCCAUACCUCCUCGCUCUAUCACCCUCUCCUUCCUCAGCCUCCCUCGUCACUCUCUUCUAAACCCUUUUGCUCUCGCUCACUUGCACACCUGUCACUCUCGUUCUCUCCGGAACCGGCUAUCAUUUGGUACAAGCGGUGGAACGCAGUACAUUUGAGAAAAAUGAUAAGCUUGGUAUGGCAACCAUCAUACAAACGGUCAGUAACGAAUACUUGCGACUAAUAAAAAGUAAGACGUGCAAGCAAGCUAUACAGAUAUUGAAAGAUCGUCUCGAAAGAACGGGCGCUCUACGAAUGCUAUACGCGCGAUGUGCAUAGAGCAAAUGGAGACCUGAGGCCUUGUGAUAACCGAGGAAGAGAAAAUUACUUAACUCUUAAUGUCGAUGCCAGCAGAAUUCAACAACGUAAUCACGGCGAUCAAAACUAUGGCAGCCGAGUUCGUAAAAAACCGUCUUUUGGACGAAAAAAUGAAACUAAAGAAAUGACAAGCGUCAAGUUACGGACGAGACGUGGCAUUCUUAUCCUGCUUUAACUGCGGUAAGCAAGGGCACAUCAAACGAAACUGUCGCUACAAGCAAGGAAACGACAACAGAAGACAUGGCAAUCGACAACUCUCCGAGUACAACGAAAAGCGUGCGACGGGAAGGCAAUCACCGGGAACAACACGUGAUGGACAGUCAAGACAGAGAGAUAAGUUCAAUCAUUCACGAUAAAACGACAGAGAAAACUCAAGCGGCAAAGCGCGAACAGCCGAGGCAACUCGAAAAGAAGAUGUCGUCACAUUCUGCUCGCAAGCGGAUACAGCGUACGGUAACACAGAUAAUAAAGGUAUAAACUUCAUAUUAGAUUCGGGCGCGAGUUACCACAUGAUUAAAAAGGAACUGUUCGAGCUUACGUACAACCGGAGAAAACUAAAGAACCGAUCAAAGUUACGGUGGCAAAAGCAGAUCAGGCAAUUACGGUAACUGAGAUAGCCGAUAUAAAUCUGGAUUACAAAGGUAAGAUCAUUUAAUUAACCGAUGUAUUAUACGCUACCCAAUUAAAAUGCAAUCUUCUGUCCAUUAAACGGCUAGAAACUAAGGGAUUUCAAGUCGAAUUUAGAAACGGAUCCGGACAUACAUACAAAGGAAAAGAGCUGAUCGUGCGAACGCAACCCAGAAGCAACCUACAUAAUUUUACAUUUAAGAAGACGUCAACGAACGAUUGGGCAAAUAUAGCGCUAACUGGCGACCCAAUGAUAUGGCACCGGCGCCUAGGACA